GGAAAUCGGCGGCUAAAAUGCAGUCGAGCGAAUGGAUUAAGAGCUUGCUCUUAUGAAGUUAGCGGCGGACGGGUGAGUAACACGUGGGUAACCUGCCCAUAAGACUGGGAUAACUCCGGGAAACCGGGGCUAAUACCGGAUAACAUUUUGAACCGCAUGGUUCGAAAUUGAAAGGCGGCUUCCGCUGUCACUUAUGGAUGGACCCGCGUCUCAUUAGCUAGUUGGUGAGGUAACGGCUCACCAAUGCAACGAUGCGUAGCCGACCUGAGAGGGUGAUCGGCCACACUGGGACUGAGACACGGCCCACACUCCUACGGGAGGCAGCAGUAUGGAAUCUUCCGCAAUGGACGAAAGUCUGACGGAGCAACGCCGCGUGAGUGAUGAAGGCUUUCGGGUCUAAAACUCUGUUGUUAGGGAAGAACAAGUGCUAGUUGAAUAAACUAGCACCUUGACGGUACCUAACCAGAAAGCCACGGCUAACUACGUGCCAGCAGCCGCGGUAAUACGUACGUGGCAAGCGUUAUCCGGAAUUAUUGGGCGUAAAGCUCGCGCAUGUGGUUUCUUAAGUCUGAUGUGAAAGCCCACGGCUCAACCGUGUAGGGUCAUUGGAAACUGGGAGACUUGAAUGCAAAAGAAGAUAGUGGAAUUCCAUGUGUAUCGGUGAAAUGCGUAGAGAUAUGGAGGAACACCAGUGGCUAAGGCGACUUUCUGGUCUGUAGCUGACACUGAGCCUCGAAAGCUGCGGAGCAAACAGGAUUAGAUACCCUGGUAGUCACGACGUAAACUAUGAGUGCUAGUGUUAGAGGGUUUCCGCCCUUACAGUGCUGAGUUAACUCAUUAAGCACUCCGCCUGGUGAGUACGGCCGCACGGCUGAAUCUCAAGGAAAUUGACGGCGGCCCGCACAAGCGGUGGAUCAUGUCGUUAAAUUCGAACCAACGCGAACAACCUAACCAGGUCUGACAUCCUCUGAAAACCCUACAGAUAGGGUCUCUCCUCCGGGGACAGAGUGACAGACAGUGUGCUGCUGUCUCACUCAGUCUCGUGGAAUGUUCGGUUAAUCCCCACCAUGCACGCAACCCUUGAUCUUAGUGGCCAUCAUUAAUUUGGGCACCUAGGGACGCCGUGACACCCGAGAGGUGGGAGACUCAAUCUCUGCCCUAGACUGGCUACACCGCUCAUGACCUGGACAGAGUCCAACCUACAGUGGACUAUCCUAAACGUUGCCAAUCGAUGAAGCGCAC
rnacentral:rRNA from 1 species